rnacentral:rRNA from 2 species
UUCUGGUUGAUCCUGCCAGAGGUCACUGCUAUCGGUGUCCGAUUAAGCCAUGCGAGUCGAGAGGUGUAAGACCUCGGCAGACUGCUCAGUAACACGUGGAUAACCUGCCCAAGGGUCCGGGAUAACCCCGGGAAACUGGGGAUAAUACCGGAUGGGUCACCAGUGCUGGAAUGCUUGGUGGUCGAAAGGUGACGCCUUUGGAUGGGUCUGCGGCGGAUUAGGUUGACGCCGGUGUAACGUACCGGCGUGCCUGUAAUCCGUACGGGUUGUGGGAGCAAGAGCCCGGAGAUGGAUUCUGAGACACGAAUCCAGGCCCUACGGGGCGCAGCAGGCGCGAAAACUCUACAAUGCAGGCAACUGCGAUAGGGGGACAUCGAGUGGCAUCCACCUUGGGUGUCUGUCCAACCGUCUAAAAAACGGUUGUUAGCAAGGGCCGGGCAAGACCGGUGCCAGCCGCCGCGGUAAUACCGGCGGCUCGAGUGGUGGCCGAUAUUAUUGAGUCUAAAGGGUCCGUAGCCGGCUUUGCAAGUCCCCUGGGAAAUCCGGCGGCUUAACCGUUGGGCUUUCAUGGGAUACUACAUUGCUUGGGACUGGGAGAGGUAGGAGGUACUCGGGGGGUAGGGGUGAAAUCCUGUAAUCCUCCGGGGACCACCGGUGGCGAAGGCGUCCUACCAGAACAGGUCCGACGGUGAGGGACGAAAGCUAGGGGCACGAACCGGAUUAGAUACCCGGGUAGUCCUAGCCGUAAACGAUGCCCGCUAGGUGUCACGACGGUCGUGAAUCGUCGUGGUGCCGUAGGGAAGCCGCGAAGCGGGCCACUUGGGAAGUACGGCCGCAAGGCUGAAACUUAAAGGAAUUGGCGGGA